UCAGAGUGAACGCUGGCGGUAGGCCUAACACAUGCAAGUCGAACGGCAGCACAGCAGUAGCAAUACUGUGGGUGGCGAGUGGCGGACGGGUGAGGAAUACAUCGGAAUCUACCUUUUCGUGGGGGAUAACGUAGGGAAACUUACGCUAAUACCGCAUAAGACCUUCGGGUGAAAGUGGGGGACCUUCGGGCCUCACGCGGAUAGAUGAGCCGAUGUCGGAUUAGCUUGUUGGCGGGGUAAAAGCCCACCAAGGCGACGAUCCGUAGCUGGUCUGAGAGGAUGAUCAGCCACACUGGAACUGAGACACGGUCCAGACUCCUACGGGAGGCAGCAGUGGGGAAUAUUGGACAAUGGGCGCAAGCCUGAUCCAGCCAUACCGCGUGGGUGAAGAAGGCCUUCGGGUUGUAAAGCCCUUUUGUUGGGAAAGAAAUCCUGCCGGUUAAUAACCAGUA
rnacentral:rRNA from 1 species